CCUACGGGUGGCAGCAGUGAGGAAUAUUGGUCAAUGGCCGGAAGGCUGAACCAGCCAAGUCGCGUGAGGGAUUACGGCCCUACGGGUUGUAAACCUCUUUUGUCAGGGAGCAAAGGUGCCCACGUGUGGACGCGUGGAGAGUACCCGAAGAAAAAGCAUCGGCUAACUCCGUGCCAGCAGCCGCGGUAAUACGGAGGAUGCGAGCGUUAUCCGGAUUUAUUGGGUUUAAAGGGUGCGUAGGCGGAGUGCCAAGUCAGCGGUAAAAUUGCGGGGCUCAACCCCGUCGUGCCGUUGAAACUGGCGCCCUUGAGUGGGCGAGAAGUAUGCGGAAUGCGUGGUGUAGCGGUGAAAUGCAUAGAUAUCACGCAGAACGCCGAUUGCGAAGGCAGCAUACCGGCGCUCAACUGACGCUGAGGCACGAAAGCGCGGGUAUCGAACAGGAUUAGAUACCCUAGUAGUC
rnacentral:rRNA from 1 species